rnacentral:rRNA from 1 species
UACGUAGGGUGCAAGCGUUAAUCGGAAUUACUGGGCGUAAAGCGUGCGCAGGCGGUUUGUAAGUUUGUCGUGAAAGCCCGGGCUCAACCUGGGAAUUGCGAUGAAGACUGCAAGGCUUGAAUCUGGCAGAGGGGGGUAGAAUUCCACGUGUAGCAGUGAAAUGCGUAGAGAUGUGGAGGAACACCGAUGGCGAAGGCAGCCCCCUGGGUCAAGAUUGACGCUCAUGCACGAAAGCGUGGGGAGCAAACAGG